rnacentral:lncRNA from 1 species
ACCCUCCCGCAUCAGCACCGGCUGGGUGGGUGCGGAGUGCGCCAGCGGCCAAGUCAAGACUCCUUGAAUGCUCAGGAAGGUGUGACUUGCAGAGGAGUUGAUUCCUUCUUAUGUACAUUUACUGGAGAAGUUUACAGCAGGAGACUGGGGUCUGAGACACACGCAUCUUUGUGUGCCCCAAAGAAUAAAGCCCUCAAAGGAUGUGAAGCCUGAACUCACUUCAAAUGCUGGAAAGGCCCUUUCCUUAGCUGAGCUGUGGAGGAACCAGGACUCCUGUGGCACUGCCCUAACGAGGAGGCAGUGCUGCCAGAUUCAGGUCUGCAAGACAGCUUUGAUUCAGCUGAUUUCAGCCAGGCUCACCCCGACUUUGCAGGGCGCUGCGAACCCCAGCCUUCAGGUCGGGUUCAGCAUCCAGCAGUGCCCUGGAAAAGUGGCUGUGAAGUUACUUGCAAGACUGCAUUGAACCCGGGCGAGACACUUCUCAGGGGAGCUGUCCAGCUACAUUCUCUGAGUGAAGGUCCUGAACAGCUUGGAGUACUAAGAAGAGCGCUGGACAUGAACUGGAAUAUGUGGGUUCAAAUCCCACCUUUUCACUGCCCAGCUCUGUGACCCUGAGCAAGUGACUCAACCUCUGUGAGCCCCGUGUCCUCUCUGUAAAAUGGAGGUAUGAAUGCCUGUGAGAACAGGAUAUGGGGAGGGUUCCUGUAUAACACUUCGCCCUGCCCAUCUGAAUAAAAGGCUGCAUUCACCCUUCCUAAGGAAGACCACUUUCCGAUGUUCCAGUCUGAAGACAAGGAAUGCAAAGCUCACGGAUGCCGAGGAAUUUAUCCAAGAUCACUGUGAUGGGAUGGGAACUUUGGUUUUCAGCCUUUAAAUACAUUGGUGCAGAAGUCCAAGAAAGAUGCUUGGAAAGACCUAG